UACGUAGGGUGCGAGCGUUAAUCGGAAUUACUGGGCGUAAAGCGUGCGCAGGCGGUUUUGUAAGCCAGAUGUGAAAUCCCCGGGCUUAACCUGGGAAUGGCAUUUGGGACUGCAAGGCUUGAGUGCGGCAGAGGAGACUGGAAUUCCUGGUGUAGCCGUGAAAUGCGUAGAUAUCAGGAGGAACACCGAUGGCGAAGGCAGGUCUCUGGGCUGACACUGACGCUCAUGCACGAAAGCGUGGGGAUCAAACAGG
rnacentral:rRNA from 1 species